GAACAGGGCGGCUUCUGGUUUGGCGGGUCCUUUGUCUCUCGGUGCAGCCGGAGCUCCAGGUCUCCUCUUCAGUACUCUGUGUCCUGUGCUCCUACAGGCCCAGCCUCUGUGGCCCUGUGACCUGCAGGUAUUGGGAGAUCCACAGCUAAGACACCAGGACCCCGGGAAGCCUAGAAAUGAGAUGGAGUCUUACCAUGUUCGCCAGCUUGAUCUUGAACUCCUGACCUCAGGUGAUUCACCCACCACAGCUUCCCAAAGUGCUGGAAUUACAGAAAUCCUAUUAGUAUCCCGUGGUGUCUGAAUGAGGUGGGCUGUCAUAGUGAGAACUUUUGAAGAUAUGUCUAUCUGGACUCAUGCUGAAAAUUCAGAAGUAUUUUUUCCAUGUCAUCAUUAUAAGUAGAAACUGAGGCUGAAACACUGCUUACAUUCUGAUUAUUGUGAAGGUGAAAUUCUAUCCAUGACGCCUGCAGGCUCUCCUCCUGCAGCUCAGACGUCACUCUCUGAUGUGAUACUAGAGUGCUGCUGUGGCAAAUGGGGUUCACAUAAAAUGUGAGCUGUGCUCUGGGCUGUGCCUCAGUGGCAGAUGGUAGCGGUAAAGAGAGGACACUAGCAACUAGGAGAAAGUAAACAGGAGUGCUGUAGCCCAGUGCCAGGGAGUACAGAGCCACUGCUCUAAAAUGUAAACAGCCAAAAAGAUAGAACACUAUUCAGCCAUUUUUGUAGCAGAGUGAAAGCCUAGCUUCACCUGGCUUCAAGCUGCUAAACCAACUCCUGUUAUGAUGAUGUGAAAAGUUUAUUUGUCAUUGAAUAUAAGCAAUUAGUAUACACAGAUGGCCUCUUCAAUAUCCAGGUGAAUUUAGGAUGA
rnacentral:sRNA from 1 species